AUGGGCCCUCCCCAUCACGACUCGCGGUGGAGAUUGCAGCGGCGUCUUCGGCGUAGUUCGCUCCCGCGGCUCCUACUCGACGACGUGGUGGACCUUUGCCCUGGGGUGCGGCGCUAUCCGCUGACCCCACUCCUCCAGGUGCGGCCAGCCGUGGCGGAGAUGGAGCAGGCUCUCCCUCCGCCUGGCAGAGUGCAGCCUGCACCCGGCGCUGGCCAGGCCCGAGCCCGUCGCGAGGCUUCCUCCGGCAUGGUUCCUGGAAGCGGAGACGACGGUGCGCCCACAGCAGCGGCCCCUCCCGCGACGAAAGCAGCGGCCCCUCCGGCCGGCGGAGCCCAUCUCGAAUGGCUGUGGCGUAGAAAAUUCCCCAUUGGGAAUUUCAUAUCCGCACAGGAGGAAGAAAGGAAAUCUUAUCCUUUCAACCAUUUCUGGAUUUAG
rnacentral:rRNA from 1 species